rnacentral:lncRNA from 1 species
CAAACUUCAGAUGAUGGAGAGCGCGUGCUUGCUGAGUAAAAAGUCCACAUAUUUUUUAACAGAUCUACAAAAAAAUCGAUCGGCAAUUGCUUCGGAUGAUCAAAUCACUUCAGGCACAAACUUUAAAUUGAACUGAAACCACAUAGUAGCAUAGCAUUAACCACGAAAUUAGAGUACCAAAAGCACUACAUAAAACACCCGUACCGUAAAAGAUCACACCUGGAGACACCAUGCAAAACCAAACGACAGACGUAUUAGAAUACAGAAGCAACACCCACAAGUUUCUCCCUUUUUAUUUGGUAGCUAGCUAGGCGACUACUUCUUGCGGAGGUCGCUCCGCAGGUCGCGGAAGUAGGUUUUGGGGUCCUCCUCGAAGGGAGCCCGGAGUAUGUGCAUGUCCCUCCCGGGGGCUUUCAUGGUCUUUUCUUCUUCGGCAGGCUUGGACGAUUCGGCCAUCAGGCUCACCACGCCUGCACCCAAGGCCAAGAUCGCCGCGCCGGCGAUCGCUCCUGCGGCGAGGGCAGAUGAGCUGCUCGACUCCUUGGCCAAGGCAGUGUCACCUGACUCCUUGUUCUCACCAUCUCCCUCUCCACCUUUGCUCUCGCUUGCGCCCAUAUGGAGCUUGGACUUGGGAUAUGCCUUCGGAUAUGGUAAAAGUUUCGAGGUUUCUCUAGCGUCGAAGUGUGAGUGUUCUAUGCCUUGUUCUUAGGGUGAGAGGUCAGUCUUUGGGGUUUACUUUAUAGCGGCUUUGGUGGCUUUGGAGCUUGGACAUGGGAGUAAUUUCAUGACUUAAUGCUGUGCAUUGGAAGACGUCGACCUUGACCUUGACCUUAACCUUCACUUGAAGCGAUUCGUUUCUCGAUGCUCACUCACUCUUUCUGCGUCGAAGACGGAUGAGGCUUGCACUGCUUAAAUUUCCGAUAACAACUUUAGUAGAAAAAACAAAGGAAAAGUAGACGGGGGGGACCCAUCCUAAUGUGGAAAAGAAGACCGCCAAUACUUUAGCAUGCGUUUGAGCAGUCAUCGCUCCUCCCUGUUUCGCCCCUUCUUUUCCCGUACUGCAAGAUGUUUCUUUUAAUAAUUUAAUUUGAAGAAGAGAUAAUGACAUAAAUGAUUUUUAAGUAUUGACUCAAUAUGUAAUGUGAUCUCUAAACUUUUAAUUUAUUUGAUGUGACCAAUGAAUUUCUAAUCUGUUCAAGGUAAUAUUUGAACUUUUGAUAAAUGUUCAAUUUAGUCUUUAGAUUAUUAUAUCCCUAGAUUCAACUAGUCCCCAAAUUAUCUAAUCCAAGGACUAGAUUGAACAUUUACCAAAAGCUUAUAAAUCACAUUGAACAAAUUAAAAGUUCAAAAGUUACAGUGCACUUUAGGUUAAAGUUUAUGGACCACAUUAAACAUUGAAUCAAAGUUCAGAGAUCAUUUGUAUCAUUUUCUCUUUACUACUAAAAACACUAAACUAUAUGUUCUAUAAGACAUUAAUCCCAAACUUUUUUUUUGUAACACUAAAAACCUUCAAUUUAUACCCAAUUGAUAUUUAUCUCAUUUUGACGUGUAGCACCGAUGUGGUACCACUUGAGCACCACAUUUGAAAAAUUUAAAAUAAAAAGGGUUAAUAGCACAGAAAAUCCAAAACUAAUACACCUAUGACAGUUGGCGAGUGUACAAGUUUGUGAUUUUAUACCUUUAAGUUGCCGAGUUGGAUGGUGCAUAUUUGUAACCACAAAAAAUCAUAAACUGGUAUAUUUGUAAUAAAUUUAUCGUUAGUUAAUUUCUGUUAAUAUACCUUUAAGUUGCCGAGUUAGAUGGUGCAUAACAGUUGGCGAGUGUACAAGUUUGUGAUUUUACCUUUCGUUUGUCUUACGUGUAUUAGUUUGUGGGUUUUUUUUUUUAUAAUAUUAAUUUAAUUUAACGAAAAUUAUCGAAACGUAAAUUUGUUCAUUGGAAGAUUAGCAAACAAUAGCGAAUGCUUGCACUGCCAUGACCCUCCAAGGAAUAUUCCAUGAUAUGGUGAAACUCCAUGGUUUCAAGAAAAAAAAAGGUUCAACAAUUACUAAUGAAUGGAUUAGAGACAUGGGGAGUAGCCCCAAUAGUGCAAAAGCUUGUGAGAAAGAGGAGGUACAGAGUAAAAUGGAUAGCUUGGGCUACUCCAUAUCUUAGCGAGCUUGGCCACAAACAAAAUGCAAAAUUGGGUUUAAAUCUUAUUCUCAUAACUUGUCAUGCUAAAGCCUAAGCCUAGUGAAAGCUGAGCUUGGUGAGCACGAUUGAGGGAAAAAUGAAAGAAAAAAAACCGUUAGUUGGGAGUGACCAAAGCGAGAUCUCACUCUUGAAUGUUGAGCAAGGUUCAUUGUCACUGGUUAGAUUCGAGGUGGCUGAACCCCUAAGUUCUCGCUCCCAGGUUAGGGAGGCAUGGACAACCUCGAUGAAGGUCGUUGUCCAUGGAUGAGUGCUCGAAAAUGAUGAACAGUGCAUCCUCAAUAAUGAACAGUAAUCGUGAUAAUAGUGCUUCGAAUUUUUUCGUUUUUGUGUAAAUUUUUUUAUUGGGCCACUUGCAUGGAACCACAUCAGUGCCAAGUCGGAGCCAUGCCAAAUUUCAAUGGCAAUAUUUUAAUGGAAUCCUAACAAAAGGGUAAAUAUGUUACUUGGGUAUCAGUUUGGGAUAAAAAAAAAUUGAGGAAACGUGCCACUGUGGGCAUAAUUUAGUGUUUUUGGUGGUUUUUCUUUGACACGGAAAAGAAGAUGGGGGGCCAUACUAACAUGGAAAAGAAGACUUGCUAAUGCUUUAGUGUGCCUUUGAGCUGUCGGCAAGAAAUCAUUCAUUAUUACUCCUACCUGUUUUGCCAGUUGUCGUAAAAAAAAAAAUUCAUUAUUACUCCUAUCUAUUUUGCCCUUUCUUUUCUUGUACUACAAGAUGUUUAUUUUCAUAAUUAAUUUGGAGAAGGGAUGGUGAGAUAAAUGGUCUUUGAACUUUGGUUUAAUGUGUAAUUUGGUCAUUGAACUUUCAAUUCAUUGGUCCCUAAACUUUUGAAAAAUGUUCAACUCGAAAUGUUAAACUUUUGUUGUUCCCUAGUUGAACAUUUUUCAAAAGUUUAGGGAUCACAUUAAACAAAUUAAAUGUUUAGAUAUUCCGUUGCACUUUGAGCAAAGUUUAGGGACCACAUUGAACAUUGAACCAAAGUUCAUGGAUCAUUUGUAUCAUUUUUUCUUUGGAGGAAAAAAACUGCUAAAGACUCUAAACUAUGCCCAUUGUAAUACAUUUACCCAAAUUCUUUUUGUGACACUAAAUAUUUCAUCACACAUAUUUACUCGACAUUAGAGUUAUGUUAAAUAUCACAGUUAAAACCUAAUAACUCAAGCACCACAUUUGAAAAAAUUAUAAUAAAAAGGGCUAGUGCCAAAAAAAAUUACAAAUUAGUAUAUUUGUCAAAUUUACCCCAAAUAUAAAAAACCGCGAAUUGAUACUCCUGUGACUAGUUUUUUUUUUUUAAUUUUUAUUAUUAAAUGACAGUUGAUGGGUAUACUAAUUUAUAGUUUUAUCCUUCUUUUGUUACAUAUGUGUACUAAUGGAAAUUAAUAGAGCAUAUAUUUGUUAUAAAUGUAUUAAUUUGAAGUUUUUGAUGGAAAUUUGUCACAAAUGUACUUUUGGGAUUGUUUUGUGGUACUAUCCUAGAUAAAACUAAUAAUUAAACAAACUCAAAGCACUAUUGGUUGUGGUUACUGUUCAUCAUCUUCAAGUCUUUGUCCAUCGCAAUCCAAAGUUGCCUAGACAUCCGACUGUGUUCAAUUCAUUUUUUUUUUCUUUUGUUGUAAAUAAUCUUCUUCCUUGUUCCUUUAGUGUUCAUCUUUAUAGGCAAACUUCUCCAUUUCUCUUCUACUUUGUUUGUUUUGUCAAAAUUGUUCCUCUACUUUCUCCACUUAAAUACUAGCAAAAUCAAUCCAUGGACACUUUGCCACUUUGAUCAUUGCUUCUUCAAACCUUGGAAAUCUAUCCAUCGGAAGAUUAGCAAAUAACAGCCAAUGCUUGCAUUGUCGUGACUUUCCAAGGCAUAUUUCAUAAUACAGCAAAAACCCAUUGAUUCAAGAAAAAAAGGGAAAAAGGUUCAAUAGCUACUGAUGAAAUUGAUUAAGGACAUGGGGAGUAGCCCCAAUAGUGCAAAAGCUCAUGAGAAAGAGGAAGAACAAAGUAAUAUGGACAGCUCGGGCUACUCCAUAUCUCGGCAAGCUCGGUUGCAAACAAAACACAAAAUUAGGUUUAAAUCUUUCUCACAACUCGUCAUUGCUAAAGUUUGAGCCUAGUGAAAUUUGAGCUUGGUGAGCACAAUUAAAGGAAAAAUGAAAGAAAAACAAACCAUUAGAUGGGAGUGACCAAAGCGAGAUCUUACUCUUGAAUGUUGAGUAAGGCUCAUUGUCACCGGUUAGAUUCAAGGUGGCCAAGACACUUAGUCUUUUAUCCUAGGUUGGGGAAACAUGAACAAUCUCGAUCAAGGUCAUUGUCCAUAGAUGAACACUUGAAGAUGAUGAACAAUGCAUCCAAAACAAUGAACAGUUAUUGUAGUAACAGUGCUUUGAAAUUUUUUCUUUUUUGUUUGAAUUUCUUAAUUGGGGCACUCAUGUGGAACCCUAUCAACACCAAGUGGAAGCCAUGCCAGAUUUCAAUGGUGAUUUUUAAGAGAAUCCUAGCGAAGGGUAAAUUUAUCACUUAGAUAUUAGUUUGAGAUUUUUUGGUAUCGCAAAAAAAUUGAGGAAAUGUGUCAAUAUGGGCAUAAUUGGUGUUUUGGAUUGCUUUUUCUUUAGCAUGGGACAAGAAAUGAAGGGCGCAUCCUAAGGUGAAAAAGAAGACCCACUAAUGAUUUAGCGUACCUUUAAGCUAUCAGCAAGAAAUCAUUCAUUAUUGCUCCAACCUGUCUCACUUUUUCUUUUCUCGAACUGCUAGAUGUUUCCUUUCAUAAUUUAAUUUGGAGAAGGGAUAAUGAUAUAAUUAGUCUUUGAACUUUGACCUAAUAUGUAACGUGGUCCUUAGAUUUUUAAUUUAUUGGUCCCUAAACUUUUAAAAAAUGUUCAACGUGAAUUGUUAAACUUUUUUGGUCUCUAGUUAAAUGUUUUUUAAAAGUUUAUAGAUCACAUUGAACAAAUUAAAAGUUUAAGAACCACAUUACACUUUAGGCUAAAGUUCAAGGACUAUUUGUAUUAUUUUUUUCUUUGAAGAAAAAAUCAUUAAAAAAGCCUAAACUAUACUUAUUGUGAUACAUUGUUGAUGCCUAAUUUUUAAUUGAUGCGAUGAUAAAGGUAGAACGGGGCCAAUUUUUCGAACAAAAAGUAUUAGUUUUCAUUUUCUUUCUUUUAUAAUGUCAUUUUUAGAUAAUUUCUUAGUCAUUUCCAAUAAAAUUUGAAAAGUUAAAUGGUUGACUUUUUGGUUGACUUUUGAUCAAACUUUUGACCAAAAGUCAAACCCUUGGGUCAAAAGUUGACCUUUUGCACUAAAUGAUUCCUUUUAGUUCCAAUUUGACUUUAGCAUAUAAAAUUUUGCAAAAAUUGAAUAAGAAUCUUGCUUUUUGAAUUUUUCGAUUUUAGGUUCAAAAUCAACCAAAAAUAAAAUUACUUUUAUUUUAGUUAUAAGUAGUCUUAAUUCCUUUUACAGCAUUUGAUCUAUAGGUCGUUACCCAUUCACUCAUUCAAUCGAUUUUGAGAUUAGAAGUGCCAAAAUAUGAAUUCUCUUUUUUAGCCCUGGUUAGGGGGUUUGCAAGCGGACACUUCCAUUCCACUCAUUUUUGUGGAAUAAUUCGAAUCGAGGGUAAAUUUUGGGAAAUUCACUUAGGAACUUCUCAUUUUGAGGAAUUAAGCUCACUUGAACAUUAGAAAAUCAAGCUAAUGAGUUCUGAUUGAUGAAAUUCAAGUUGACCCAUUCGAGACUAAGGUUGAAUUUCAGAAAUUGAGGUUCAAUUUCAUCAUUAGACCCCAAUUCAAUUUUAGCGUAAAAGUCACGCCAUUAAUUUAAGUCAAUUUGAAUGCAAUAGGUCAUCCUAGGUAUGGUCAAUUAAUUCAUUGGUGCCAUGCAAUUUUAAUUGAAUUCAAUUUCAAUUAAUUUGCAUUUUAGGGCAAGAUAUUACAUAAAAUUGUCCAAUUUAGCCUAGGAAGUCCAAUUAUAUGUACCUAUGGCACGGGUCCAAUAGUUUCCAUGUUAAUUAGGUAAUUAGGCUAAUAGAAAGUUACAAGAUUGCAUUUACAUAGUUUAAUAGGCAUAAUUUCUUCAAAAUUGGACCGUUUCUCUUCGAGUUAAACCGUUUUUCCUUUAAAAUAAGCAAGAUUUCCUUUCAGGGACUAAAUUGCAUAAAAUGUAUAAGGGAAAGGACUAAACUACCCAAGAAGUGGCUAAAAUAAACAACUUUUAAUAAUAUUUUGAAUUUUUUUAUGUUUUAUUUUUCCAUCUCUUUUGACGAUGCUUGUAAAGAUUGUGCACACCAAGGAGGAUCAAGGGUCUCCUAGGAGCAUUGUUAGCAUUAACAGAGGUUUACUGGUGGCGGCUGCUUCGAAUUACAAUAGAUUAGGCAUCCUUGUUGGUAUAGUUGAGGGCGUACCAUACGGCCUUAAACUAACUAAAUACCUUGCCAGGCUUGCCUUCCCUUCCCUUCCGUGGAGACUGGAUCAGACAGCACUCACGUGAUUAUCUCUUUAUCCACCAUCGUUGUCCGCCCGGACAUCAUCCAUUUUUCAGCUCUGCUUAUUCAGACGCUCUGUUCGAAGACAAGGGAACAUGGUGGGUCGUAUUCUAAGCUCAAAAGGGCUCGGUAACCAGAAACUGUUCUGGUGGAGGAAGAACCUGAUUUUUAUUCCUUCUGCUUUACAGUCCUUAUGGAUUCCACCUCUCAAGUUGAUUGCAAAAAAAGAAAGAAAGAAGAAGUUCCUUUUCCACUUUUGAAAAAGGGGUUGCAUUCGAUCGAUGGUGAUUAUCAUAUUAAAAGGGAAAAGUACCCCUGAUCGGAAACGUUGCAUUGACGAAAUUUUUUAUUUUUCGAACUUGGACAUGUGUCAAUAGAUGAUAUGUCCAGUUGUCGCAUUUUUAAUAAUAAUAAGCCCACACUAGCCAUUAUUAAUUAUUAUUAAUUUAUUCUCGUUAUAUAAGAUUUGGAAGCGAGUAAGCUAUUUCUGCAAGCUAAAUUAUUCAACAAUUUCGGGUACUCCAAGUCUCCGACCUACCAAGCUCUUAAAUUCCAACUAAAUUUUGUGCAAUUAAUUUCUCCAGACUCACCCAAGAAUAUUAAACAUUUCUACGAACUCCAACCCUGUCAAGCCUUUGCAUUUCAACUAAGCUUUUCCAAUUUGUCAUUUAGUUUGUCUAGACAGGAUGAUUCUAAAAGGUCUAGCCUUUCCAUAGAAUCCCACCAGUGAAACUUGACAUUUUCAAGAACUUUUUGCCUAUCAAGACCUUAAAUUUAGAUUAAAAUUUUUGAUAAUUUGUCCAAUCUAAUUUCUCCAGACGCAAUGAUUUUGAAGGGUCCAGCCUUAUAAUGAAAAUGCACCUAGUGAAACGUAAAUCUUCCAAAAACUCCACUCAACCAAUGCCUCGAAUUUCAUUUAGGUUUUUGCAAUCUGUGGCAUCUAAUUUCUUGAGAAGCUCCAAUGUGUAAGGUCCAACAUCUCAAAUGAAGUAUACCAUAUAUGUCCAACCUUUCCAAGAAGUCCAACCUAUCAUGGUCUUGAAUUUCAACUAAGUUCUUGCAAUUGAACUAGAAACAGCAUAACGUUACAAGGGCCACAUGCAUCUUAUUAAGGAAUCUGUAUAGUUUUUGCUUUUGUAUUUAAUGGGUGGUUAGUAGCAACAUCUGAAUAGUUCAUUAUUUAUUUUCUCUGUCCAUCUUCAAAGAUAUUGGUGCACGUCGUUGCAAAAAUAGAACUCGGCCCUCCAUCACUGCUCCCGAAAUAACAGUUUUGCACAAUCUUACUCGCCAAAGAGAAAAGUAUCAGAUAAAAUAUUUCGAUGCACGACACUGAAUUCUAAGUUCUUGGUCUUAUGUUGGUAUAAAUAGAUGACACUUAAGACUUCAAUAGAAUUUUCUUCAACCUUAGAAAUUUGCGAAUUCUAUUUCCUCAAACUUUACAGAAACUAUUUCCUUAUCUGUGUAUUCUCUAUAAUCACUUAAUUAAUCUAUUAGAUUACUAUGAUUUUAAAAAGUACUUUUAUUUCAAAACUUUUGAGUUUACUUCAAUUUUAAUAUAUUCUAUGUUAGGAUACAAUAUGUGUGAGUUCUAUUAGAAAAAUCUCAUAUCGGAGAGUUGGUAUGGGAUAGAGCUGUUUAAUAUAUCUGAAUUGAUCAAUAACUUAUUAACUUAAGUUUUUGAGUCAAAAUAGAUCCAACUGAAUGCCUUAACAUGUUCGGACUUGUACUCCCUAUUGGCAAUCUCUCAAAAUAAAAUGUAUCGAACUUCUACUAUGCACUCAUUGCACCAGGGUCAUGGUGGUUAUCCUAGUUGGCCCAUGGCUUAAGCUGUUAUCGGGCUUCUACUGUGCGUUUGUUGCAUCAGAGUCAAUGAUGGUUAUUCUAGUUAGCCCAUGGCUUAAGCUUAUAUUGGGCUUUUACAGCUUGGUCCCAACGUUUCUUAACAGGAGUAGUAGUUAAAGUUUUCAUACGAGGGCAGUCUCAUCUCUUCAACGAAAAAGCGAGCUUGGAGCAAUUUUAGCUGCGGGAAUAGUUGUUUACCUGGUCUCAACUAUUAAGUAAAGUGGGUCUCUUUUCUUAGGGGCCACCAUAGAAAAUCUGGCUGAGUGUUGAUUUAAAGAGGUCAUUGUCUCAUAAUGGCAAUUCUCCAUCGGUUUGAUUUGUCUAAUCGAACUAACCGGCAAUCAUAAUUGCUCUGAUAAUUUAAACUUGUCAAGCUAAGAUAUAAUUUGGUAAUUCAUUGACCGGAAAAAGUAAUCAUGCACUUAUAGUUGUUGCCUUCUUGCGGAAGUAACUCCAAUGCUCAAGAGAACCCAACACAAAAUAUAUAUUAUUUUUUUUUGGUCGAAAUACGGAAACUAUAUUCAAGAGGUAAACCCAGUACAACCCAACGCAAUAUGGACAUCUCCUCCUGCAACAUCUAAUUUGAUAAACUUGUCGGGCAAGUUACAAAAAUCUGCUUAUGAAGUCUUUGGACAGAAACUCUGAAUUGAUUUGUUAAACUUAUUCCUCAAAUUUACGAUAUGGACAUUCUCCAACCAUAUCUAGAUUAACUUGAAAUAUAUUAAAGAUUGAGACAAUUUCGGAGAAAACUGAGAUUUCAUGACAUUUUAGUACAUCACCGGGAGUUUAUGCUUUCCUUGACAAAGUUGAAAGUUCAAGACAUUUUCAAACGAGAGUGGUAAGUUCAAGAUUCUUUAAAAUAUUAAGCUAAAGAGAUGAAAAUCCACUUUUUUUUCAAAAGUAAUUUUUGAAAAAGAAAAUGAGGAUUGUUCCGAUUUUCGUGGUUGUAUAAUGUCCAUUUCAUAAACAUAUUUAUUCCCUUGCUAAAUGUUAAAAUCAUAAUUUUGGUCGGAUAACUUAAUAUACCAAUUUCAGUAUACUUGUUGCCAUUACUCGUAAAUAACCUCGACUAAUUCGUCAAACUUCAGAUGAUGGAGAGCGCGUGCUUGCUGAGUAAAAAGUCCACAUAUUUUUUAACAGAUCUACAAAAAAAAUCGAUCGGCAAUUGCUUCGGAUGAUCAAAUCACUUCGGGCACAAACUUUAAAUUGAACUGAAACCACAUACUAGCAUAGCAUUAACCACGAAAUUAGAGUACCAAACGCACCACAUAAAACACACGUACCGUAAAAGAUCACACCUGGACACACCAUGCAAAACCAAACGACAGACGUAUUAGAAUACAGAAGCAACACCCACAAGUUUCUCCCUUUUUACUCGGUAGCUAGCUAGGUGACUACUUCUUACGGAGGUCGCUCCGCAGGUCGCGGAAGUAGGUUUUGGGGUCCUCCUCGAAGGGAGCCCGGAGUAUGUGCAUGUCCCUCCCGGGGGCUUUCAUGGUCUUUUCUUCUUCGCCGGGCUCGGAUGAGUCACUGCGCAGGUUGCGGAAGUAGGCAGCGGGGUCCUCCUCAAAGGGACGCCGGGGUAUGCGCAUGUCCCUCCCGGGAGCUUUCAUGGUCUUUUCUUCUUCGCUGGGCAUGGACGAGUGGCUCCGCAGGUCACGGAAGUAGGUAGCAGGGUCCUCCUCGAAGGUACGCCGGAGUAUGCGCAUGUCCCUCCCGGGAGCUUUCAUGGUCUUUUCUUCUUCGGCAGGCUUGGACGAUUCGGCCAUCAGGCUCACCACGCCUGCACCCAAGGCCAAGAUCGCCGCGCCGGCGAUCGCUCCUGCGGCGAGGGCAGAUGAGCUGCUAGACUCCUUGGCCAAGGCAGUGUCACCUGACUCCUUGUUCUCACCAUCUCCCUCUCCACCUUUGCUCUCGCUUGCGCCCAUAUGGAGCUUGGACUUGGGAUAUGCCUUCGGAUAUGGUAAAAGUUUCGAGGUUUCUCUAGCGUCAAAGUGUGAGUGUUCUAUGCUUUGUUCUUAGGGUGAGAGGUGAGUCUUUGGGGGUUACUUUAUAGCGGCUUUGGUGGCUUUGGAGCUUGGACAUGGGAGUAAUUUCAUGACUUAAUGCUGUGCAUUGGAAAACGUCGACCUUGACCUUGACCUUAACCUUCACUUGAAGCAAUUCGUUUCUCGAUGCUCACUCACUCUUUCUGCGUCGAAGACGGAUGAGGCUUGCACUGCUUAAAUUUCCGAUAACAACUUUAGUAGAAAAAACAAAGGAAAAGUGGACGUGGGGGACCCAUCCUAAUGUGGAAAAGAAG